AUCCCCUCUAGGCCUUUUGGCUUAGAUCAAGUGUAAAAAAAGAAAGGAUCUUGCGACAGAUCGCAUCCUGAGGCACGUUUUUUUUUGUGUGAAUACUUGCACUUGGGUGACUUGUGAGCACAUACUGAUUGUUACGCCGAGCGCUCCGGGUUCCCGCUCCUCCCCGGAGCGCUCGCUUCACC